rnacentral:rRNA from 1 species
CCUACGGGGUGCAGCAGUGGGGAAUAUUGGACAAUGGGCGAAAGCCUGAUCCAGCCAUGCCGCGUGUGUGAAGAAGGCCUUCGGGUUGUAAAGCACUUUCAGUGGGGAAGAAAGCCUUGGGGCUAAUACCCUCGAGGAAGGACAUCACCCACAGAAGAAGCACCGGCUAACUCCGUGCCAGCAGCCGCGGUAAUACGGAGGGUGCGAGCGUUAAUCGGAAUUACUGGGCGUAAAGCGCGCGUAGGCGGUCUGAUAAGCCGGUUGUGAAAGCCCCGGGCUCAACCUGGGAACGGCAUCCGGAACUGUCAGGCUAGAGGGCAGGAGAGGAAGGUAGAAUUCCCGGUGUAGCGGUGAAAUGCGUAGAGAUCGGGAGGAAUACCAGUGGCGAAGGCGGCCUUCUGGACUGACACUGACGCUGAGGUGCGAAAGCGUGGGUAGCAAACAGGAUUAGAUACCCCGGUAGUC